CCCAUGCCUGUGGAUGGAGCCUGGAGUCUGCUCCAUCUGGCUGAGAAAUGGCUCAUGAAUCUUUCAGUAGCAGACAAAACCCAUGGAGAUGCAGAGUCCCAUGGUGUCGUAUGCUCUGCAAUACCAAAACCAAGCUGUGAUUCCAGACGUUGAACUUCUGAGAUUCACACUAGGGAAGAAGAGGGAUGAAUUGCACUACCCUGUCUGGUUUGGGGGUCUCUGAUGAACAGAAGGUAUCAACAAACAAGAGAGAGCACAGUGGAGGGCCAUUAACAUGGAGAUGUGUAUGAUUUCUGAGGACUGCCUAUGUUUAGCCUGGUGAAAAGGAAGCUAAGGGUUGAUUUAGUUGCAAGUUUUAACUCUCUUAAGGAGAGUUGUGGAGAAUAUACAACCAAUAUUUCCUCAGAGGUGUGCAGUGAAAGGACAGGAGGCAAUGGACGGAAGUUGUGACAAGGGGAACUUUGAAUCAGUAGAAAGAGCCUUCACCAUGAGGACUGUGCAGCACUAGGGUGGGUGCUCAGAGAGGCUCAGGUACCUCCAUCCUUGGAAACAUUCAAAAGUACUUGUCAAGGCCCUGAUAAGUUGAGUCUAGCCCUUCUUAGAGCUGGGGUGAGUCCAGAUGAGCUCCAGAGGUCCCUCCCAACCUCAGUAUUUCUAGCAUUCUGUGACAAAUUCCGUCUUUUGCAGGAAUUACUGGAAGUGUCACUAACACUGGAAUUAGUAAAAGAAAUGAAAGUAACGGUGUAUACUGGAAGUGACCCUGGAAGUAUCACUACCAAUGAGGUACCUCAGAAUUUUGGCAGGAGUGCAAAAAAAAGGAUUGCACCCCAGGGAUAAAUGGAAACCACUCAUUACCGAAGGGGAGCCUGAAGAUGCUACACUAGUCCUGAGUUUGGAGGACCACUGAAAGAAAUUUCUUACUUGCUGGGUGCUUAAUGGAAAACAAUUUGCAGCCAGAAAGAGAUAGCUCCUGAAGACUUUUACUUGAUUCCACUCUGGUCAAGAGACUUCCUUCCUGUUUUACCGUGAC